AACGAACGCUGGCGGCAUGCCUAACACAUGCAAGUCGAACGAGACCUUCGGGUCUAGUGGCGCACGGGUGCGUAACGCGUGGGAACCUGCCCUUAGGUUCGGAAUAACUCCCCGAAAGGGGUGCUAAUACCGGAUAAUGUCUUCGGACCAAAGAUUUAUCGCCUUUGGAUGGGCCCGCGUUGGAUUAGCUAGUUGGUAGGGUAAAAGCCUACCAAGGCGACGAUCCAUAGCUGGUCUGAGAGGAUGACCAGCCACACUGGGACUGAGACACGGCCCAGACUCCUACGGGAGGCAGCAGUGGGGAAUAUUGGACAAUGGGCGAGCGCCUGAUCCAGCAAUGCCGCGUGAGUGAUGCAGGCCUUAGGGUUGUAAAUCUCUUUUACCCGGGAUGAUAAUGACAGUCCCGGGAGAAUAAGCUCCGGCUAACUCCGUG
rnacentral:rRNA from 1 species